GAUCAUUACAGAGUUACUACUCCAAACCCAUUGUGAACCUUACCUAUGUUCUGUUGCCUCGGCGGCGUGGUCAGCGCCCCCUCUGAAAAGAGGACGAUGCCCUCCCGCCGGCAGCACCAAACUCUUUGAAUUUUACAGCGGAUUACAGUUCUGAUUUGAAAACAAAAAACAAGUUAAAACUUUCAACAACGGAUCUCUUGGUUCUGGCAUCGAUGAAGAACGCAGCGAAAUGCGAUAAGUAAUGUGAAUUGCAGAAUUCAGUGAAUCAUCGAAUCUUUGAACGCACAUUGCGCCCGGCAGUAAUCUGCCGGGCAUGCCUGUCCGAGCGUCAUUUCAACCCUCGAACCUCCGUUUCCUCAGGGAAGCUCAGGGUCGGUGUUGGGGCGCUACGGCGAGUCUUCGCGACCCUCCGUAGGCCCUGAAAUACAGUGGCGGUCCCGCCGCGGUUGCCUUCUGCGUAGUAAGUCUCUUUUGCAAGCUCGCAUUGGGUCCCGGCGGAGGCCUGCCGUCAAACCACCUAUAACUCCAGAUGGU
rnacentral:rRNA from 1 species